UGAUGGCGGCAGACGUGGCAAUGGUUGGCGAUGGGGUAAACGACUCCCCAGCAUUGGCGGCGGCAGACGUGGGCAUGGCGAUCGGUGCUGGCACAGACGUGGCCAUCGAUGCUGCUGACAUCGUUCUAAUGAAGAGCAACCUUGAGGACGUCAUCACUGCCAUUGAUCUCUCGCACAAGACCCUCUCCAGGAUCCGGCUGAACUACGUGUGGGCACUGGGCUACGUCCUGGGCAUGCCGAUCGCCGCCAGCGUCUUGUUCCCUUUCACGGGCGUCGUCUGCCCAUCCAGCUCUACAAGAAAUCGCUGCACGUUGAAGACGCGCCCAGGCCCGGGGAGGACUCAAAUUUGGUGUGACUGCGAGUGAGUACUGAUCCCUCGAUCUCGAUGUGUACUAACGAGAGCAUGUUGGCGUCACUGAUGCUUAACGAGCCAACACCUGAUCGAUCUGUGUACAACAAGCAACACGUUUUGGAACAGUUCGCCAAUUGAUUGUGCAAUAAUUUAAGACAAGGUUUUCUCGGCUUUUGGGUAUGUUCAUAAAAUAGCCACCUUUGAAAAGGCUACAGGUUUUUAGGCAUUGAUCCAGUACACUGAUGCGGCUACUGCUUUAGCUGCUAGAGAAUCCUUAGAUGGAAGGAGCAUCCCAAGUUACUUGCUUCCGGAGCAUGUAACAUCCUGCUACCUGCGAAUUUCUUUUUCUGCACAUAAGGAUUUGAACAUCAAGUUUUAGUCGAUCCGCAGCAGUAUAGAGCAACUGGUAAAGGUUUCAGUUCGUCAGGUUGUCUCUUGCCUGCUCAUGGAUUCAGCAGGCAGUUCAAAAGGUUGACCUAUUUGGGAAUCUCUGGAUCUAUGCUUCAGUUACAAGAUCAACACAUCCACAAGCACCAGUUCAAGCUGAAAUGCUGGAAUGGACUCCACUGUCACAGCCAACAUGUGACUAAAUUUCCUCACUACAGUCUACACCCUGUAGUAGUAUUCUUACGGACGAAUCAAACCAAACAUCAACCCGGGAUCAGGUAGCAUGCCCGCUACUCUACCACCACUGAUCCAUAUCUUUCAGGUCAUUGUAUUGCUAUUCUGCAGGCCAUCGACUAGAACAAAGAUCUUUCUAGAGAAUUAUAUUGUUGAUUCAGAAAUUUCUCUUAUAGCCACUGUUAAUUUGGUGCGUGUUUCGUCUUUAUAUAUGUGCUUUUGGAGAAAGCUGAUAGGCUAAAUUGUUUGGGUUCUAGGCAGUAGCUAGAAAGAGACUUGGAAGCUGAGAAAAGCUGCUGCAAUAUAUUGCAAGAACUUAUCUCACGGCAUUUCAAACUCGCUCGCUUCUUUCUUUUCUACAUACAUUCAUAGUACAUUGAUAUGUGAUCCAAUUUAUAAAAUUUUAAGCGAAAUUUCUUGUGGAUGGUGACCACUACCAAGUCUGGAUCGUGAGUAGUACUUGGGAGAUACUAAUCAAUUGUUUGGUAUACUAAAAUAAUCUGUUGUGGUUCUAUGCAUUUAGAAUAUGCGUUCAUGAUUUUGUUUUUGAGGAUUGGAUGAUGUGUUGUUUACUAUCCUCGGGGCUACAUGGUGUGGACUGUGAAGGCCGGCCGAUGUACAUAGAGAGGCCAGGGAAGGUGUCCUGGAGUUUGAGAGAGCUUUUAGGGAGAGGUUCUCUGCCUGCACAUUAGCUGCUAAGAGGCAUAUUGACUCCACUACCAUCUUCGAUGUCCAAGGGGCUCACAUGGAUCAUCCCCGAGCGCAAGCAAACUUUGAGAUCGCGCCGAAAGCAUGCCAUCCCUGGAAUCCUUCAGUUGGGAGUAACAUUUAGUUCCACUCUGUGGUUUUUGCUCUCUAAAUAUAUUGCUUGUCAUACAUAUGUUUGCGAUCUCAUAGAUUUGGAUUUUGAGCAGUACCAGUUUAUUAUUUUUGUUAAUGCAAGCCUUGAAGCGUAUCAAACUCUAUGAACUGGUAUGAUUUGGAAGAUAGGAACUGUAACUUCUAUGUUGCAAAUAAUCUAUGAGGUGUGAGCUGCUAGAGGUAAAACUUGCUGAAAUAGUUAUGAUCUGAAAUAGUCAUGUAUCUUGUGAUAUUAACAAUUCCUCAUAGUAUUUGACUAUUUGUAUUGUAGCAACUGCUCCUUUUGCUUCGUGUAGUACUAAAUUUACUGUUGCUUGUUUAAAAGAAAAAAUUUAGGUUCCAUUUGCAAUAGUGGAUAUGUUUUCACUGUCUGAUGAAUGCUGUUGAGAUAUUUGGUUUUUCUUUUGUCAAACUCCAAUUAAUAUAUUUUCCUUGUAUUGUAUGAAUUGCGAUGUUCAGAAGCACAAAGAUAUUAGUAAAGCCGAGAAGGACAUCGUUCUCAGGCCAUCAAUGGCGCCGCGCUGCACCUCUUCAGCUUCGCCGAGGCCAUCAACAUCGGUCGCCCACCUAGAAACUCUUUAAGAUCAUAGACCUCCACGAUAGGCUCUCGAAGUCUCGGACCUCCUAUCCGACGUCUUUGGCUAUACCUAGCCUCAACAUCGAGAUGACGAUGUGAGGACUCUAGGUCAAUGUCUCUAGCGUUGUCCUAUCAUGAAAAGCAAAUUAUCACGAAAUGUUUUUAUGGAUUUUAUCUUCAUUAAUAAAGAUAAAAUUAUAGUUA